AGGACGAACGCUGGCGGCGUGCUUAACACAUGCAAGUCGAACGCGAAAGGGACUUCGGUCCUGAGUAAAGUGGCGCACGGGUGAGUAACGCGUAGAUAACCUGUCUUCAUGUCUGGAAUAAUACGCCGAAAGGGGUACUAAUACCGGAUAUUCUUGCUUUUCAUAAGUUAUGCAAGCAAAGGUGGCCUCUGCAUAUGCUACUGCAUGAAGAGGGGUCUGCGUACCAUUAGCUAGUAGGUGGGGUAAUGGCCUACCUAGGCGACGAUGGUUAGCGGGUCUGAGAGGAUGAUCCGCCACACUGGCACUGGAACACGGGCCAGACUCCUACGGGAGGCAGCAGUGAGGAAUAUUGCGCAAUGGGGGAAACCCUGACGCAGCGACGCCGCGUGAGUGAAGGAAGGCCUUCGGGUCGUAAAGCUCUGUCAAGAGGAAAGAAGUGUACAAUGGCUAAUACCUGUUGUAUUUGACGGUACCUCUAAAGGAAGCACCGGCUAACUCCGUGCCAGCCGCUGC
rnacentral:rRNA from 1 species